AUACGAAGGGGGCAAGCGUUGUGCGGAAUAACUGGGCGUAAAGCGCACGUAGGCGGAAUGUUAAGUUAGAGGUGAAAUCCCAGGGCUCAACCCUGGAACGGCCUUUAAUACUGGCAAUCUAGAGACCGAGAGAGGUGAGUGGAAUUCCGAGUGUAGAGGUGAAAUUCGUAGAUAUUCGGAGGAACACCAGUGGCGAAGGCGGCUCACUGGCUCGGUACUGACGCUGAGGUGCGAAAGCGUGGGGAGCAAACAGGAUUAGAUACCCCAGUAGUCC
rnacentral:rRNA from 1 species